GCACUUACUCAUCUAACUCCUUGAUCAGAAGUUUUAACUUUUACACUGUGAAUAUAAUCCAUUAUGUUAGAGCUAUAAUUGAACUGCUAUUACUAUAACACUUAUAUUGACUUAUCAAAUCGGUUUAAGGAAUACCAGAAAACUUGGCAAUUCCGGCCAGGAUAGCCGAGACGACUAAGUGCACCCUUCCGUCUGCUGUAGCUACCUCGUCGUGUGGGUUCGAAUCCCGCUGUAGGCAUCAUGGCUUCUCCCGAUUCGAAUUCUUCUUCAGAAGAACGCUAUUCGAAGACAUGAGAAGAUUGAAGACUAGUCGUCCACACAUGUCGUGCUCAAAAACAAGGCCGACAGCUUCUGUGUUAAAUCAUAGGAGCGUUCUGACCAUUUCCAUUUUCAACGACCUGUAGUUGACGUCGAUGUAACGCAACGAAAACCCCCCUCCCCUCACCUAGGGAUGCAAUCGGGUAAAUGCAUUUUGAGAGAAGCAGGAGCAUUUGAGCAUGCCUCCACAACAGAUCAAUACCUGAGCGCCGCGUGAUGUAUCCAUGGCAACAUAAACUACAAGAUCAGCUGAGUGAGUGUCCUACCUUCUAUAUCUAUACAGAGAGUUUCAAAAUGUUCUUCUUCGGGGUUACGAAAAUUCACUACAGGAAGGCUAUUCCACUUACUUAAAUGAUGCAGAGGAUCAAACAUUUUUUUAACAUCUAUAAAAGUUCAUUGGUGACACUUCAUACUUCAAUACAAAAUUCUAGCCCAAACACGCCCUAACAUGUCUCUUUCGAUAGAGGUGACCGCAUUGAUUAUGCAAUCCUUCAGUUCAGCGAUAUCGUUUGGCAUUGGUGGGGUGAAAAUCUUGUCUUUCACAUAGCCCGAUAGAAAGAAGUCACAUGUCGUGAGGUCUGGUGAUCUUGGUGGCCACAGAAAAAGUUAUUGGUCCUCCUCAGACGCGCGUCCUAUCCAUCCAGCGUCGAGGCAGUCUUGUCUUAAGGUACUGUCGAAUCUCGUUAUCAAAAUGGGCAGGACAACCGUCUUACUGGAAAAUGAAGUCAUUUUUAAUAGCUGAGGCAUAAGCGAUAAUUGCAACAUGUCCAGGUUUGUCAUGCCGUUUACUGUCGUUUCUGCAAAAAAUAACGGCCCAUACACUACCAUUUGGUGGUAGCCAUUUUCUAUUUUGUCCACACCUAGCGGGCAAACUGUCAACUAACUGCCCAGUACCUGUGGAAAAGUUUUUUGUAAUGCAUUUUCGCAGCCCCGAAGAAGAUACUCCCUGACAUACGGGUUCGGCUUGUUUUGCCUUUGCACAGAUUAUACAUCAUUCAACGAAACUGUUGCAUCCAAACUAUACGCGGAUACAAAGUAUCCAAACAUCUUGGUGAAGGAUUACAUAUAUUUAUCCUUUUGCUGAAGAUCAACCAUUUACCUCGAAAUGCGUCCAGAUGCGAAUUUACAAAACAUAUAUUUUAUGUGUUGGUUGAAAUUCCACUGAUCCAGCCAUCUUGAGGAUAUUGGUGACCCACUGACCUAUAAACAGCAACAAAGACACCGAGGCUGGUGUCCUCCUGCAGUUUGCGCAUCUUCUUCUCCCUGCGCUGUUCGUCGGUGAGCUUCCUGCUGGCAUUGGCGUCCUCGUGGGCCUUCUUG